rnacentral:rRNA from 1 species
GACGAACGCUGGCGGCGUGCCUAAUACAUGCAAGUCGAACGCAGUGGGGACGGGUGCGUAACAAGUGGGUAACCUCCCAUCAGAGGGGAUAACACUUGGCAACAGGUGCUAAACCGAUACUGAUGGAUGGACCAGCGAUGCAUUAGCUAGUUGGUGAGGUAACGGCUCACAAGGGGCACGAAGCAUAGCCGACCUGAGAGGGGGAUCGGCCACACUGGGACUGAGACACGGCCCAGACUCCUACGGGAGGCAGCAGUAGGGAAUCUUCGGCAAUGGACGAAAGUCUGACCGAGCAGCGCCGCGUGAGUGAAGAAGGUUUUCGGAUCGUAAAACUCUGUUGUUAGAGAAGCGGUAUCUAACCAGAAAGCCACGGCUAACUACGUGCCAGCCGCCGCGGUAAUUC